UUCAGUUAUGAAUAGGUCAAUGUCUGUCAUUCCUCCUCCUCCUCCUCCUCCUCUUCAGUUGUGAUUAGGUCAGUGUCUUCUGUUCCUCUUCCUCCUCCUCCUCUUCGGUUGUGAUUAGGUCAGUGUCUGCUGUUUCUCCUCCUCUUUGGUUGUGAAUAGGUCAGUGUCUGCUGUUUCUCCUCCUCUUUGGUUGUGAUUAGGUCAGUGUCUGCUGUUUCUCCUCCUCUUCGGUUGUGAUUAGGUCAGUGUCUGCUGUUCCUCCUCCUCUUCGGUUGUGAUUAGGUCAGUGUCUGCUGUUCCUCCUCCUCCUCUUCGGUUGUGAUUAGGUCAGUGUCUGCUGUUCCUCCUCCUCUUCGGUUGUGAUUAGGUCAGUGUCUGCUGUUCCUCCUCCUCCUCCUCUUCGGUUGUGAUUAGGUCAGUGUCUGCUGUUCCUCCUCCUCCUCCUCUUCGGUUGUGAUUAGGUCAGUGUCUGCUGUUCCUCCUCCUCCUCCUCUUCGGUUGUGAUUAGGUCAGUGUCUGCUGUUCCUCCUCCUCUUCGGUUGUGAUUAGGUCAGUGUCUGCUGGUCCUCCUCCUCUUCGGUUGUGAUUAGGUCAGUGUCUGCUGUUUCUCCUCCUCCUCUUCGGUUGUGAUUAGGUCAGUGUCUGCUGUUUCUCCUCCUCUUCGGUUGUGAAUAGGUCAGUGUCUGCUGUUCCUCCUCCUCCUCUUCGGUUGUGAUUAGGUCAGUGUCUGCUGUUCCUCCUCCUCUUCGGUUGUGAUUAGGUCAGUGUCUGCUGUUCCUCCUCCUCCUCCUCUUCGGUUGUGAUUAGGUCAGUGUCUGCUGUUCCUCCUCCUCUUCGGUUGUGAUUAGGUCAGUGUCUGCUGUUCCUCCUCCUCCUCUUCGGUUGUGAUUAGGUCAGUGUCUGCUGUUUCUCCUCCUCUUUGGUUGUGAUUAGGUCAGUGUCUGCUGUUUCUCCUCCUCUUUGGUUGUGAUUAGGUCAGUGUCUGCAGUUCCUCCUCCUCCUCUUCGGUUGUGAUUAGGUCAGUGUCUGCUGUUUCUCCUCCUCCUCUUCGGUUGUGAUUAGGUCAGUGUCUGCUGUUCCUCCUCCUCCUCUUCGGUUGUGAUUAGGUCAGUGUCUGCUGUUUCUCCUCCUCCUCUUCGGUUGUGAUUAGGUCAGUGUCUGCUGUUUCUCCUCCUCCUCUUUGGUUGUGAUUAGGUCAGUGUCUGCUGUUUCUCCUCCUCCUCUUCGGUUGUGAUUAGGUCAGUGUCUGCUGUUUCUCCUCCUCCUCUUCGGUUGUGAUUAGGUCAGUGUCUGCUGUUCCUCCUCCUCCUCUUCAGUUGUGAUUAGGUCAGUGUCUGCUGU